rnacentral:rRNA from 1 species
GUGGGGAAUAUUGGGCAAUGGGCGCAAGCCUGAUCCAGCAAUGCCGCGUGGGUGAAGAAGGUCUUCGGAUCGUAAAGCCCUUUCGACAGGGACGAUGAUGACGGUACCUGUAGAAGAAGCCCCGGCUAACUUCGUGCCAGCAGCCGCGGUAAUACGAAGGGGGCUAGCGUUACUCGGAAUUACUGGGCGUAAAGGGCGCGUAGGCGGCUCUGUUAGUCAGGCGUGAAAUUCCUGGGCUUAACCUGGGGACUGCGCUUGAUACUGCAGGGCUUGAGGCCGAGAGAGGGUGGUAGAAUUCCCAGUGUAGAGGUGAAAUUCGUAGAUAUUAGGAAGAACACCAGUGGCGAAGGCGGCUCACUGGUCCGGUACUGACGCUGAGGUGCGAAAGCGUGGGGAGCAAACAGGAUUAGAAACCCUGGUAGUCC